UAGCUCAGUGGUAGAGCACAUGCUUAGCUUGCAUGAGGUCCUGGGUCCAAUCCCCAG
rnacentral:tRNA from 1 species